CUGCUGGUUACACCGUGGUGGAUGCCUGCCGUGCUGCUUGGAGUAUUUUACACAAACGUAAAAUGCUGGUCCAGGUUCGAUACUGCCAACAGCAGAAGUAUGUGAAGUUGGAAGAGGUUGAUGGGCGUUUUGAGUUUAUGCAGUUUCAUGAAAAAGAAUUUUCUGAUUACUCCUUGUCUUCUGCAUCUGAUUGUUCUGACUCAAGCUUCAGCUCAAAUGCAAGUACAUCAACUAUACUUCUAGAUGAGGGUCCCAGGAAGAAAACAAGAGUUGAGGGUACUGUUGAUGCAGCAUCUGCUAAAAAGUUAAUUGAAGGUGUACUUGGAACCAAUUCAGGUGGUGAAGAGGUUCUCCAGGAAUAUCACACAACACAAAC